GAUGAAGAACGCAGCGAAAUGCGAUAAGUAAUGUGAAUUGCAGAAUUCAGUGAAUCAUCGAAUCUUUGAACGCACCUUGCGCCCUUUGGCUAUUCCGAAGGGCAUGCCUGUUUGAGUAUCAUGAACACCUCAACUCUCAUGGUUUGCCAUGAUGAGCUUGGACUUUGGGGGUCUUGCCGGCCUAUGGGUCGGCUCCUCUCAAAUUAAUCAGCUUGCCAGUGUUUGGUGGCAUCACAGGUGUGAUAACUAUCUACGCUUGUGGUUUUCCAUCAGGUAACCUUCAGUGAUGGAGGUUCGCUGGGGCUCAUAAAUGUCUCUCCUCAGUGAGGACUGCUUUUUUGAACGUUUGAUCUCAAAUCAGGUAGGACUACCCGCUGAACUUAAGCAUAUCAAUAAGCGGAGGA
rnacentral:misc_RNA from 1 species